CGGUAAUUCCAGCUCCAAUAGCGUAUACUAAAGUUGUUGCAGUUAAAAAGCUCGUAGUUGGAUUUCUGCGGGGACGGAGCGGCCGGUCGCAAUUUGCGACUCGAGCUAGCGCUUUCCCCGCAUCCUGCCGCGAACCGUGCUACCAUUAGUUUGGUGGCGCUGGGGAUCGGCUCGAUUACUUUGAGAAAAAUAGAGCGUUCAAAGCAGGCCACACGCCUUGAAUAAGUUAGCAUGGAAUAAUGACUAAGGACUUUGGUUCUUUUCGUUGGUGUUCGGGACUGAAGUAAUGAUUGAUAGGGACAGUUGGGGCGGUCCGUAUUCCAAAGCGAGAGGUGAAAUUCUUAGACCUUCGGAAGACGAACAGCUGCGAAAGCGUUCCGCAAGGAUGUUCCCUUUGAUCAAGAACGAAAGUUGGGGGAUCGAAGACGAUCAGAUACCGUCGUAGUCUCAACUAUAAACUAUACCAGCUAGGGAUCGGCCAACGUUUAAUUUAUCGACUUGGUCGGCACCUUAUGAGAAAUCAAAGCAUCUGGGUUCCGGGGGGAGUAUGGUCGCAAGGCUGAAACUUAAAGGAAUUGACGGAAAGGCACCACCGGCCGUGGAGCCUGUGGCUUAAUUUGACUCAACACGGGAAAACUUACCAGGUCCAGACAUAGGAAGGAUUGACAGAUUGAUAGCUCUUUCUUGAUUCUGUGGGUGGUGGUGCAUGGCCGUUUUUAGUCGGUGGAUGUGAUCUGUCUGCUUAAUUGCGUUAACGGACGAGACCCCAGCCUGCUAAAUAGCGCGGCCGAGCUUUGCUCGGUGCGAGCUUCUUAGAGGGACCAUGAUGCGCGAUAGCACAAGGAAGUUUGGGGCAACAACAGGUCUGUGAUGCCCUUAGAUGUUCUGGGCCGCACACGGGCUACACUGGCGCCUGCAACGAGCAUAUCAGCUGGCCCGAGAGGGUCUUGGCUAAUCUUUGGAACCGGCGCCGUGCUUGGGAUUGACCAUUGCAAUUGUUGGUCAUGCAACGAGGAAUGCCUUGUAAACGCGAGUCAUCAGCUCGCAUUGAAUACGUCCCUGCCCUUUGUACACACCGCCCGUCGCUCCUACCGAUGAAUGUUCCGAUGAAAUUUUCGGAGAGCGCCGGAGAACGGGGCUCUGCCCUGCAGAACUGGAGGCUCAAAGUCACUUAAAUCUGAACAUUUCGAGGAAGGAGAAGUCGUAACAAGGUAACC
rnacentral:rRNA from 1 species